rnacentral:rRNA from 1 species
AUGAACGCUGGCGGCGUGCUUAACACCUGCAAGUCGAACGAAGCACUUUAUUUGAUUUCCUUCGGGACUGAUUAUUUUGUGACUGAGUGGCGGACGGGUGAGUAACGCGUGGGUAACCUGCCUUGUACAGGGGGAUAACAGUUGGAAACGGCUGCUAAUACCGCAUAAGCGCACGGCAUCGCAUGAUGCAGUGUGAAAAACUCCGGUGGUAUAAGAUGGACCCGCGUUGGAUUAGCUAGUUGGUGAGGUAACGGCCCACCAAGGCGACGAUCCAUAGCCGACCUGAGAGGGUGACCGGCCACAUUGGGACUGAGACACGGCCCAAACUCCUACGGGAGGCAGCAGUGGGGAAUAUUGCACAAUGGGCGAAAGCCUGAUGCAGCGACGCCGCGUGAGCGAAGAAGUAUUUCGGUAUGUAAAGCUCUAUCAGCAGGGAAGAUAAUGACGGUACCUGACUAAGAAGCACCGGCUAAAUACGUG